ACGCGUAUAACUUGUGUGUAAGAAAACGAUGAGGGAGUGCGCAUGGCUCAGUUGGAGCCG
rnacentral:antisense_RNA from 1 species